GCUAUAAAACCAACACCAACUGUGUGCCGGCGCAUGGUGCUAGCGCAAUAGCGCCAUUGGUUUUUCUAUUCAACUUAAGCGCAACCCUUUGUUACAGUGCACUGAUUUAAUGUGAUAACGAUAAUAUCUUGCCAUCUCCUACUGUAGAUACCAUCAUUCUUUUAUUUCUUUUGGCGCAAUUUUAUGGAAUUUGGUCUGCAAAAUUCUUUAAAGGUAUCUUCGAUUUCAUAAAUAACGUCAACACGUGACAGCAACAGGUAAAAUAGGGGAACAACCUGGCAGUAUGGGCAUCAUCUAUUUCCAGUUAUCAAUUCCAAUGCCGAAAAUAUAAAAAUGUUACAACGGCAAGUCAAUAGACGGCAAUAGAUUGGUCAACAUCCGCGUAUUAUAUUACAAAGCCAUUGCACAGACAGUCUACCAUUUGCACUACUUAAAAUUGAAUGACACAUUUUAAAACUUUUAAUUAAAUUAAAGUAAAAUAAAAUGGCUACAAAAAAAACGAGUGACAUCUGGCUCAAUUUUUCUGAGGAAAAAGACCAAAAAGUCACAUGCAAGAGCUGUGGCCAAAAGUUGUCAGCGGAAAACAAGUCAAUCUGUUCAGCAUAUGAAGAGGAAGCACCCCACCCAGAUUAUUUCGAGGCAGACAAACGUAGUAAGUGAAAACAAUAGUGUUGAAUCGGGGCCACCUCCUCCACAAAGUCUUCAACUGCAGCAAACAAACCAGCUAACCAUUCAACAAAUUUUUCAGUACUUUAAUAAACCAAUUGCACUGAAAAAAAAGGAAGAAAUAGACAGGCAGGUUCUUAAAUUGAUUGUUAAAGAGUACCAUGCCUUCAGCAUUGGUGAAAAUUCGGAAUUUAAAAAAUAAGUAUAUCUUUUGAAUCCAAAUUAUCACCUGCCAGCGAGAAAGACGGUUUCUUCAACUCUAUUGACAAACGCGUACUCGGAAGUAAUGGAAUCCGUGAAAGAACGGUUGAAAAGGGCGUUUGCUGUUGGUUUAACAGUAGAUGGCUGGACUUCGCGAGCCCAAGACCAUUUCUUCAGUGUAACUGCGCAUUACAUCGUUGACGACGACAAGUCGACA